ACCCUGAUACUAAAACCAAAGACAUCACAAGAAAACCGUGGGCCAGUAUCCACUGUAAAUAAGAAGUAAAAAUUCUCCAAACAACACUAGUAAACCAAAUCCAACAAUAUAUAAGAAAGGCUACACCACGACCAAAUAGGACUCGUCCCAAGGACGCGAGAAUGGCUUAGCCCCUGACAGGCAGUGAACGGAACGCACCCUACCAACGGGAAAAAGAAAUACACGGCACCUCAGGAGACGCACAAAAAACAUCUGCCAAAAUCCAGCCCCCUUCCACGAAAUCCUAAAUCUGGGCAAACUAGGAACAGAAAGGGACGUCCUCCACUCGGUAAACGUCAUCUGAGAGAGCCGGCGCUGGCAGUGGCCUCCGGAACGGGACUCGGCUGCCUGGGUGGACACCGAGCAGGAGGCCCAGCCAGAGCGCUCAGAUGAGAGAAAGGAAUAAAGGCACCAGACUGGAAAGGAAGAAGUAACCGUUUGCAGGUGACGUGCUUCUAAGUCCCGAGGAACCCACUAGAACUGCGCUAGCGCUAACGAGGGAGAGAAGCAGCGCUGCCAGCCGCUGGGCCCAUGAGGCGGGCAGGGGGGCAGCACGGCUGGCCUGACUGCCCUGGAGAGGCCGUGCCCCCAGGGCUGCACCGCGCCACCCUGGCUGAUCACGUCCUGUGCGACUCCGCAAGCUGGCACAUCUCUUCCCUUUGCUGAGCUUGCUUUGUAUCAUUUCGCUGCAUGAAGUCACGGCUGUGACUCUGUGCUGAGUCCUGGGCUCCUACAGAAUCACCACAGUGAGAAGUGCUCCUGGGGACCCUUGACAGGGUGGCUGUAAACGCGGGAUUCCCUAGCGCUCAGACUCACCGACUCGUGUGGAGAGCAUUAUUUUGCAAAGGAAGGAUGAAGGGGUGAGGCGGGACAUACCUCUGGUGCCCGGGUGGCCGUGAAAUCGUCCGUGGCGUGAAACACUGGCUGAGCUGCUGUCUGUAGUGAGGGUACAAGUUACCUGUGGGACCCGGAAAUGACAGAUCCAGUCCCAGGAGAGCGGGCUUGGGUCCCCUGGCUACCGGGAGGGGGACAGUGCCACGCAGGUGAUGCUUGGGCUCCUCUUCUCCAGGUGGGUGGGAGGAAGCGUCCUGAAUUCCCAAGAGUGGGCUUCGGAUGGGCCGAAAAUGUUCAAAGUGUGCAUUGCCCUUCUCUCCGAGUGGGAGAAGCAAUGUUAGAUCAGGUCCCUGGCCUGGAACAAAGUUUUAGAUAAGACUGCUGCUGCGUCCCGCCCCCCCCCCUCCACCUCCUAUUCCAGCUGGGAUCUUCCCAGAAGCUGUGAGGUUAGCCCUGGAAAGACCGUAACUGUUAGGGGUGUGAGUAAAUUUUCAGUAAGAAAAAAAUGGAAUUUUGGG